rnacentral:rRNA from 1 species
UCAGUGGCGAACGGGUGAGUAACACGUGAGCAAUCUGCCCCUGACUCUGGGAUAAGCGCUGGAAACGGCGUCUAAUACUGGAUAUGAACCGUGGAGGCAUCUUCAACGGUUGGAAAGAUUUUUUGGUCAGGGAUGAGCUCGCGGCCUAUCAGCUUGUUGGUGAGGUAAUGGCUCACCAAGGCGUCGACGGGUAGCCGGCCUGAGAGGGUGACCGGCCACACUGGGACUGAGACACGGCCCAG